UACGUAGGGGGCAAGCGUUACCCGGAUUUACUGGGCGUAAAGCGCGUGUAGGCGGCUGGCCAAGUGUGGUGUGAAAUCCCCCGGCUCAACCGGGGAACUGCAUUGCAAACUGGUCUGGCUAGAGUGCAGGAGAGGGAAGUGGAAUUCCCGGUGUAGCGGUGAGAUGCGUAGAUAUCGUCUGGAACGCCAAAGGUGAAAACAGCUCGCUGGGGUUGUGCUGACGCUGAGACACGAAAGCCAGGGGAGCGAACGGG
rnacentral:rRNA from 1 species